UACGUAGGGGGCAAGCGUUGUCCGGAAUCAUUGGGCGUAAAGCGCGUGUAGGCGGCUCGGUAAGUCUGCUGUGAAAGUCCAGGGCUCAGCCCUGGGAUGCCGGUGGAUACUGUCGAGCUCGAGUACGGAAGAGGCGAGUGGAAUUCCUGGUGUAGCGGUGGAAUGCGCAGAUAUCAGGAGGAACACCAAUAGCGAAGGCAGCUCGCUGGGACGUUACUGACACUGAGGCGCGAAAGCGUGGGGAGCGAACAGG
rnacentral:rRNA from 1 species